UUAACUUAUUUGCUUGUUUAAUCAGAAGUGCCAUAUAAUACAUAAGAGUUUUGUGCCUCCGGCGGGCGCCCCCCUCCGGAGAGGGGAGGCUGCGGCCCCGCCCUGGGGCCGCCCACCGAAGCAACGCUGACGGAUGAGUUUACAAUGGUUUUAAGGAGUUUUUAAGCUCUUUAAUGAUCCCUCCGCUGGUUCACCAACGGAGA
rnacentral:misc_RNA from 1 species